GUGCUCGCUUCAGCAGCACAUACACUAAAAUUGGAAUAAUACAGAGAAGAUUAGCAUGGCCCCUGCACAAGGAUGACACAAAUGCAUGAAGCAUUCCAUAUUAUU
ensembl:snRNA U6 U6 spliceosomal RNA